UUGUAACAUUUCAUGGUUGCAAUGGA
rnacentral:piRNA from 1 species